UCCCCGUAUGUACUCUCAAAUGUGUUUUCAAAUUAUCUGCUUGGCGAAACUGCUUGAAACAAAUUUCACACUUAUAAGGUUUUUCCCCCGUAUGUACUCUCAAAUGUGUUUUCAAAUUAUCUGCUUGGCGAAACUGCUUGAAACAAAUUUCACACUUAUAAGGUUUUUCCCCCGUAUGUACUCUCAAAUGUGUUUUCAAAUUAUCUGCUUGGCGAAACUGCUUGAAACAAAUUUCACACUUAUAAGGUUUUUCCCCCGUAUGUACUCUCAAAUGUGUUUUCAAACUACCUGCUCCACUAAACUGCUUGAAACAAAUUUCAC